GAGUUUGAUCAUGGCUCAGGAUUAACGCUAGCGGCAGGCCUAAUACAUGCAAGUCGAGGGGCAGCGGGUGUAGCAAUACAUGCCGGCGACCGGCGCACGGGUGCGUAACACGUAUGCAAUCUACCUAUAACCGGGGAAUAUCUCUUCGAAAGAAGAGUUAAUACCGCAUAACACUUCGAGGUGGCAUCACCAUGAAGUUAAACUUCCGGGGGUUAUAGAUGAGCAUGCGUUCGAUUAGAUAGUUGGCGGGGUAACGGCCCACCAAGUCGGCGAUCGAUGGGGGUUCUGAGAGGAUGAUCAGCCACACUGGGACUGAGACACGGCCCAGACUCCUACGGGAGGCAGCAGUAGGGAAUCUUGCGCAAUGGGCGAAAGCCUGACGCAGCCAUGCCGCGUGAAUGAUGAAGGUCUUAGGAUUGUAAAAUUCUUUCACCGGGGAAGAUAAUGACGGUACCCGGAGAAGAAGCCCCGGCUAACUUCGUGCCAGCCGCCGCCGUAAU
rnacentral:rRNA from 1 species